UGGGGAAUAUUGCACAAUGGGCGCAAGCCUGAUGCAGCCAUGCCGCGUGUGUGAAGAAGGCCGUCGGGUUGUAAAGCACUUUCAGCGGGGAGGAAGGCGGUGAGGUUAAUAACCUCAUCGAUUGACGUUACCCGCAGAAGAAGCACCGGCUAACUCCGUGCCAGCAGCCGCGGUAAUACGGAGGGUGCAAGCGUUAAUCGGAAUUACUGGGCGUAAAGCGCACGCAGGCGGUCUGUCAAGUCGGAUGUGAAAUCCCCGGGCUCAACCUGGGAACUGCCUUCGAAACUGGCAGGCUAGAGUCUUGUAGAGGGGGGUAGAAUUCCAGGUGUAGCGGUGAAAUGCGUAGAGAUCUGGAGGAAUACCGGUGGCGAAGGCGGCCCCCUGGACAAAGACUGACGCUCAGGUGCGAAAGCGUGGGGAGCAAACAGG
rnacentral:rRNA from 1 species